rnacentral:rRNA from 1 species
UACGGGGGGUGCGAGCGUUGUCCGGAAUCACUGGGCGUAAAGGGCGCGUAGGUGGUUUGAUAAGGGUGUGGUGAAAGUCCGGGGCUCAACUCCGGAUCUGCCGUGCCGACUGUCAAACUCGAGGGCUGUAGAGGCAGACGGAAUUCCGGGUGUAACGGUGGAAUGCGUAGAGAUCCGGAGGAAGACCGGUGGCGAAGGCGGUCUGCUGGGCAGUUUCUGGACACUGAGGCGCGACGAGCGUGGGGAGCAAACA